UCAGGAAUCUGGCCAAACUCCAGGGCCACCUAUCAUGAGCAGCCUUGUUUGCUGGCAAUUUGCAGAGUUGCAAGGGGUAAAGGACUGGCUUUGACUAUUCAGUCUUUCAGGAAAACUUGAUCCAGUCGGCUAUAUUCUUGGACUGGCAAAACUGUAAUGUUGAGUGCUUCUACCAACUGAUAAUCUAUGGGAAAUCAAGACAGAGCUGCUCUGGGAUGACUAUGCACAUUGAAGGAGGAGUGGAAUUUCAUUUACAAGACAUUUUGAUGAAGUCUCAGUAGGGAAGAAAACUAACUUCUGGAGAGAGCUUACCUGUGCUAGAUAAUUGUACUUGCAUUAUUUCACUGAAUCUUUUUGGCAAAGCUUUGAGUCACUGGAAAGGCAGCAGAGAGGGCGUGGAGACAGACACAUCUGGAUGAGAAACUCCAGCUCCACCCACUUAACAGCUGUGUGAUCUUGGAUGUGCCAUUUACUCUCUUGCCUCAGUUCGUUCAUCUGUGAAAUGGAGCAAACAUCACAUCCUUGGUGGUUGUGAAGAUUAACCAUGAUCAUGUGUAUGUGGCAUGUACUGUUACCUACCUGUUAUCCCUUAAGUCACGGGUGAAGGUUUGAAAACAAUUGUGAAAGAGGGUAGUGUCAGCUGAUGUAUACAUGUCUCUGUUUAUCUUUCAUUUUUCUUACUGUUCAAGUGAAAUGCCAGAAGGUUGAGCUUCAGUCUGGUGCCCAGGAGGACAAGGGGCACAUGCUAGAAAUAGAAGACAAUGGUGCCUUGGUCCCUAUUGGUAGAUUGAAUGAUUUGUUCAAAACAUAUUCAUGGUGCCUUUCUGUAGGACCCCGGCUCCUGCCACUUCACGGGAGAGGAGAGCACUCCCAUGCCAUUCAAUCCGGCAUGGCCGUGUGUCUUGCAUUAGCCAGUGGGUUGUGAGCAGAAGUGACUAUGCCCUGCUUGAGAAGAAGUUCAGUGCCAUCCCAUGAUUUUACCUUUCCUUUGACAUGAGGCCGCAAGUCCCAGAGAGGGGCUGCUCCUUCUGCUUGGACCUCAGAAAGAAGAUAAUAGGGGCAGAACUGCAGCUGACUUGUGAAGGGCAUUUAAUGGGAGCAAAGAGACCUUUGAGAUUUGGGGUUAUUCCUUAUGGCAGCACAGCUGGGAAAGCUGACUAAUUAAUAGCAUCGCUGAUGGCAUACUGGGGCUGCCACACUAGCUGUCACUGGUUUUACCUCCAGACUUCUUACUACAUGAGAAAAAACAACUCCUACUUGGCUAAGCCACCAUUUUUGGUGACUGUGGUCAUGAUAUCCAGUAUCAUGAAAGUACCAGGCACAUUCGCACUUAAUAAAUUAAUGUUAGCUAUUAUUAGGGUAAUAUACAGACAUGUAUUUUAGAAAAUACUCAACUUAUGCAGUCUACAUUUAUGAGAUAAAUUGAUGGUGGAUUUUUAAAAUGAAAUUCGGCUUUGUUAAUAACCUAAUGAAUUCACUUAUUUUUAUUUAAAAAUUGAACAUUACAAAACGCCGUAAAGUGAAGAUUUCUACCUGCCAUUCUUUCAACACUUCUCUCCAUUGAUAACCUGUGUUAUCAAAACAUUUUUCUGUGUAAGGGCCAGAUUAAGGUGAG
rnacentral:lncRNA from 1 species